rnacentral:rRNA from 1 species
CAGCAGUGGGGAAUAUUGCACAAUGGGGGAAACCCUGAUGCAGCAACGCCGCGUGGAGGAUGACACAUUUCGGUGCGUAAACUCCUUUUAUAUAGGAAGAUAAUGACGGUACUAUAUGAAUAAGCGCCGGCUAACUCCGUGCCAGCAGCCGCGGUAAUACGGAGGGCGCAAGCGUUACUCGGAAUCACUGGGCGUAAAGAGCGUGUAGGCGGAUAAUUAAGUUUGAAGUGAAAUCCUGUGGCUCAACCAUAGAACUGCUUUGAAAACUGUUUAUCUAGAAUAUGGGAGAGGUAGAUGGAAUUUCUGGUGUAGGGGUAAAAUCCGUAGAGAUCAGAAGGAAUACCGAUUGCGAAGGCGAUCUACUGGAACAUUAUUGACGCUGAGACGCGAAAGCGUGGGGAGCAAACAGGAUUAGA